rnacentral:ncRNA from 1 species
CGCUCUUCUAAAGCAUGUCUCCCAAAAGUGGGCACCGGUUUUGGGAUAAAGACAUGCGAAAACAAAAGUCUACAGCAGGCCGCAUGAAUCCGAAUCAACGCGACCUGCUGUAGAGCGUUGCUUAUUUACUGGG